UAUUGGACAAUGGGCGCAAGCCUGAUCCAGCAAUACCGCGUGUGUGAAGAAGGCCUUAGGGUUGUAAAGCACUUUCAAUUGGGAGGAAAACCUGCCGGUCAAUACCCGGUAGCUUGACAUUACCUUUAGAAGAAGCACCGGCUAACUCCGUGCCAGCAGCCGCGGUAAUACGGAGGGUGCGAGCGUUAAUCGGAAUUACUGGGCGUAAAGCGUGCGUAGGCGGUUCGUUAAGUCAGAUGUGAAAGCCCUGGGCUCAACCCGGGAACUGCAUUUGAAACUGGCGGACUAGAGUUUAGUAGAGGGGAGUGGAAUUUCAGGUGUAGCGGUGAAAUGCGUAGAUAUUUGAAGGAACACCAGUGGCGAAGGCGACUCCCUGGACUAGAACUGACGCUGAGUACGAAA
rnacentral:rRNA from 1 species